UACGGAGGGGGCUAGCGUUGUUCGGAAUUACUGGGCGUAAAGCGCACGUAGGCGGUUCUUCAAGUCAGAGGUGAAAGCCCGGUGCUCAACAUCGGAAUAGCCUUUGAAACUAGGGAACUUGAAUCCAGGAGAGGUGAGUGGAAUUCCGAGUGUAGAGGUGAAAUUCGUAGAUAUUCGGAAGAACACCAGUGGCGAAGGCGGCUCACUGGACUGGUAUUGACGCUGAGGUGCGAAAGCGUGGGGAGCAAACAGG
rnacentral:rRNA from 1 species